UGAACUUCUGUUGGCAGUGAAAUAACAGAAUUUUGAGACCAAAUAAUAUCAACAUGUAGUGAACCAUGGAAGAACAUUCCUUGUGGAUAUUCAGAAAAAAAUGUUUGGUGCUACUUGAGGCAAGAACAUACCUCUCAUGCUGAUCUAACGAUAGACUAAAUCUAAUCACACCAAAGCAGGAAAAAGAUCGGAUGUGGACUUCCGCAUGACUCCCGUCACUACGAGGAGGCUUCGCGGCACAUGAUCACUUUUGAGAGAUGGACGUGCGCUGUCACGGGCUUUUGAAAUAUUUUGCUGGAAUUAUGGAAACAAAAUGCAUGUUAUAUUUCACAUGUAGAAAAAAAGAUAGCACGGGCAUAAUCGAGUAAUAAUUUAAGUCCACUUCACUUACAUUGUAAAUUGUUAACAAAAGGCAAUUUGACAAUGCAUACAUAUAGAGCGAUGAUCCAACUAAAAAUCUAUUACAAAUUAAUAUCUAUUUGAUGCGUUUAAGAAAUUCUCGCACAAUAUUAGCAAUGUUGUCUUUAGUUUCAUUUGCACAAUAUUUGAGCAAGUAUAAUAAAAAUGUCUUCCUCACCGGCCUUCGGGUCCGUCCACUUUCAUGCCAACCACGGUGGCCAACCUUGACCCAGGCUUCGACUUCUUUGCUUGCGCGAUGGCGGACGCCUCGCUUACUCGAAAACACCAUGAUGGACACCAUCCACCCUACCUUGCCUACCGGCAGCACUUUUCUUCCGGCACGGGCUCGCCGACCACCUCUCUCUCAGGAUCCUCUCCACAACUACACGGUGGCCGGAGCCAACCGUCCGCCAUGACUGCUCCACCACCACCCCGAGGCUCGACAUGAGUCAACUUUAAUCGUGUCAAACAUACAUUGUUUGGAUCCUCAUGCACAUUAAGCAACAUUCUUGAUUUUUUCUGCCUAUAAACCACUAUUAUUCUUCGUCUUUGUUCUCCUGCUCCUCUUCACUUACUAUCUCUACCGUCCCUAUCCAAGCCAGCCGCAAUCAUCAAUGUCCCAUCCGGCUCAAAAUCCCCAAACCUUCUACACCCAUACUAUGAAUUUUAAGGGACCUUUUGCCAUUAUUUUAUCCUUCAAAGUCUACAAACUAUAAUAUCAAUGUAGAAGUAAUUAGUGUAAACUCCUUUAUGCCCGCUCAUGGCCACUACGACCACAACUCUGUCGUCUCACCUACAUGAUGUGUGUCCACUCCCACAAUUUCCCCCUUACUCUGGCGAGGCCUCCAUUACUUUUGAAUAUUUUGUUCGGAUUAUUUGCCAUCAAGGAGAAAUUAGCAUAUUGCGCAUGAACAUAUGUGAUAAAAGUUCCUGCGAUUUGACACUACAGAGGUAGAGCAACAUGAAAAUAAAAGAGCAUGCUUCUAAUCUUCAAACUUCUUAGUUUAAAAAAAUGGCGAUAACCUUACAACAUUUUCCAGACUCUUGUCCAUACUGAAAAUGGUUCAUGCAUUAAGGAACACCACACAAAGUAUGGAAUCCAAAAAAACUAACAACAAGCGACAGUGACAUGGAUGGCUACCUUAUUGCUUUGGAAGUGGAUGGCAUGAGCCGUCGCUUAGAUGCACGAAACAGUCCCGACCAUGUACAGCUAGCCAAGAAACGUUGGGUCAAAACAAGGAGUUGGUACCUUGAGCAACGACGCCAUCGCGUUGACAUUUGCCCAACCCAACUGCUCAUGGCCAUCCUCGGCCACCACCUAUCCACCUGGACACACUCCUCUAGACCCAGGCGUUCUGAACGGCAUCCUCCCUGCUUCCCCAGCAUGAUGGCCGACUACCGUAACUUCUCUAGAGUGAAUCCUUCCAAAGGCGCUGCCGACAACAUCAUCCCUGUGGUGAUGCGUCUUCCUUCUUGUGCCUUUUGCUCCAUUGACCUCCUUCCUAUGAAAUUUCGGUAACAAGGUACAUUUCAGUAAUCAGUAAAAAAAUGCAGAUUUUAGUACAAGAGAAAUGAGCGUCUUGACAAAGGUUUAGUAGAAAUCAGAUUUCCGUACAACAAGAUAUUUUAGUACCUACUAAAAAGAAUAGUACAAGGGCAAUCAUCCGAACAAUAUCAUCAUAAGUAUGAACUAAACCUUUAGUCGCAGCAGGUACCUACUAAAUAGGAAGUGGAUGAUAUUCAUAUUACCCAUGUCAUCUCAAUAUCAUCAUAUGUUUAUUGUAGAAAAUCAUAAGCAUCAACACCACUACCUGGAAGACAUAUCUCCUAGCUUCUUUAUGAUUCAGAAUUCAACCCCAUGGAAGCUAAUAUGAAUAUCAUCUCAAGGAUCUAGAUAAAAUACCUGGAACAAAACUCAAUGAAGAACCAUAACAUCGAUCGAAACUAAACAUGAAAAUUUUGAACUCGCUGACUUUAUAUCAGUCUAGUAGUAAUAGUAGUACAAUCGCUGGUAGAAAAUGCAAUUCUCAACGUGCAUAUAGAUAUGCUAUUAUCUUGCUGCUAGAAAAUGUAGCGCUCAAGGUACAUAUAGAUAUGCCAUUGUCUUGCUGUGAAAUAGACUGCUUGGUUUGUUAGCUAGAUUAGGAAACCUAAGCUUUCCAACAAUUCCAAUCUGGAAGCACAAUCAGACCUCAUAGCCUUAAAGAUAAAUGAAAAGCAAUCAAACCAUUGGCGAGAACUUCUAAUUACGGCUCCGAGAGAACUCUAAUCCAUUUGUAAUUUGCCUAGAAAUAAAAUCAAUCAAACUGUAAUUUGCCUAGAAACAUGACCUCAAUGGCAUGCAUACCAUCACCUUUCAUAUCUUUUGUGGCAUUAAAUGAUUGUUGCAUUGUCUACGGAUGAGCCAAAAUUGCUAUGCCCCCAGUUCUACAAAUUAGAUGCACAAUAGAUUCCCCAUUCAGCCUAAUACCGCUGCAAAUGAACAAUAGAAAUCCACAUUAGUAAAUACAUCACGUCCCUGGUUAAGUAGUUAAUUUCAAGCCCAAAAAAUUAACACACUCCUGGCCAACAAUGUGCACGGUUAACCAUGAGCUACCGCAUCCUUGCCAAGUGUCCUCGUCCCACUCUUCCACUUGGCGUGAGGCCUCAACGGGACCUGCAUGAUCUAUCCAUCAGCGCAUUGACAGGAUUGUUACCAAAAUUCUUGUUCCUGUGAUCAAGCGGGAGGAGUACCGUGUAAAAUUCUGGCAUCCUGCUGUUGUGACAAGAAUGCAUCCUAUGACAAAAAUGUAUCCGACAUCCUCAAUCUCAAGCUAGAAAAAGACACGAGUCUCUUACUUACUAUGACAAAGUUACCAAUGUUUUUAUCAUUAAUUUAAGACGCAAAGCCUCAGGAUUGACAUGAGUAACAUGAAAGACCUUGGGAAAUAUGAAGAAAUUAGGCACACUUUUUUGUGCAUGAUGUGAAGUAGUAGUAAAAAAUCAAAAUGUCUCAUCUAGUGUUUAGUUCUGCAUACCAAGGUUAUAGUUAUACAAGUACAACGAUUAUUCAGACAAGAUCAGCAAGGAGAUGAGAGGAUGCGCUCGCGGUUGUUCUAAAAAUCGGUAGUUGGAGUCAACUUGCUUAAUUCUAUGUGCAUGCAUAUUCAAAACAACAUGGAGAAUCGUUGUAGGUUGGCUUGGGGGUACCUUUGCAACAUGGAGAAUUAUUGUAGGUUGGCUUGCUGAAUUCUGUGUGCAUGCAUAUUUUGCAGUUGAUUAUGCGGCAUCCUCAUGGUGUAAUCUUCUGCUGAUUCGUUGGGAGUACCAUUGCCACCUGAUCUGUAGAAGAUAAUACUCCACCCAUA
rnacentral:lncRNA from 1 species